UGCGACAUCGAGGAAAGGCCGGUGCACCUCAAUUGCUUGAGGAAUUGACCGGACGACCUCCAGGAAGUUGGAGUCGUGUUCGGGUGACGUCAAUGUCCCCCGGGUCACCACCAUGCUUCAUGGUGAUGCUAGAUCUCGAAUGUCUUCGUUUUGAGCGGAAGAAUGGAUGUCCAUGAGAAUUUCUCAAAAUUUGGACCAUUAUAUCUCUUCCAGGUUGACCAAUUUGGUCAAACCAAAGCCUAUAUGAGUCGGUGUCCCAAAUAUCAUGUUUGGCGACAACAUGGGAUUCGAUAUUUGAAUCGUAGUGACAUACAGUUCACUAGAUUGACUCAUGAAUUUCUCCAAUAUGCGCUUCAGUUUGCAUUCAUGAGGAGGUAUACACAAAAGAAUUCUUGUUCAUUCUCACAAUGUGUUUUCAAAUGAAAACCAUUAGCAUGAAUGUCUUUAAAGCUCAACAUGGUUCCUUAGAAUGUUGUGGAUAGUUCCACUAUCUGCGAAGCACUCAAUGUCUCUAUGAGACAUAACUACAAGGAGUAGAUAGGCGAGUAAAUAGUUCUACUUGAACCAUUUAGAAGGAUUGAAAGAAGCUACGAAAAGCUGCAAUCCCGAGAGUGCAUAAAAAUUUCCGCGCAGAAUGACCUUUGCACACUAAAAUAGCCAUAACUUCUUCGUUAAAAUAGAUAUGGACGAACCGUGAAAAGUUCUGAAAACUAGACUCAUAGAGCUUUCCAAUGAUAUAAAGCUCACUGUUUGAUUCGUCGAGAGCUGUUCACAAAGCUCAAACGAAGUUGACUGUCUAGAAGGGACAGAUUGCUGUUUUUCGCAGAUUUGGCAUGUGCGAAGCUGUGAAGCUUACAUGUGGCGUGUAGGCUUUCGCCUUAGCCAAAUGUGACGUGUGUAUGAUCAAAACCAAGUCCUUUAGAUCGUUCUAAGGUCGUAAACUUCAUGACUAGUUAGCAAAAGCUCCCUGACAUGAACAUAAACUAACUCAGAGGACCUAGAGGAUCCGAUCAUGAUGAUAAUUUUCCAGCUUUGAUAAGUCUUCAACGUCUUUUGCAAGACGGCAAUUGGUU
rnacentral:lncRNA from 1 species